AUCGGUUUAUGUGAGCACAGUUAUUAUAAACUGGACUAGUGUGGAUCAUAAAAUGGAUUUGUUUUAACGGGAUUAUAUUUGGACUACAAUUACUUUGAUUAAAUUUUACUCUAUAUAUGUACAACCCUAACCCAAGGCUGUAAAACUACCUUAAGAUGCCUUUAUUGUGAAGUGGCGCUGUAGAAAUAAAGCUGAGUUGAACUGAAAUAUGUGUGUGUGUGUGUGUCUGUAAAUGAGACUUUAAUCCAGAGAAAGUCAGUGAGGACGGAGAUAAGCAGAGGAAACGGCAGAAUCAGAGCGACCUGAUCUGGUGGUUCUGUUAUCGGACUACAAAGGUUAUGUGAGACUCUGAAACCGGACCACAGUCAGGUUAAGUGGAUCAUUUAUCUUCUUAAGCUGAAGCUCCAGUGAGCUGCUGUUGUUUUAAAGAAACUGUGAUUAUCUCGGGCGAGAGUAAAAUGUCAGCGAGCCUUGCUCUCUGAUGGAAAAACACUGGACUUUAAAGACUGACGAAGAUGAGUCAAGCCUCUUGAAACAGGUGGAGGAGGAUUAAAGAAGAAAGAACCAGCUGUAAGGUUUCCAGAUUUACUGUCUGCAGGAAUUCAGGUGAAAUGUUGGUUUCAGUCCCAACAGACAAUCACAGAAAAACCAUCUCUGUUUCUGAAGUCCUCCAACAUGGUUCAUAUCUGGAGGUGGAUGGAAACCUGCUGCACAUCUUUGUCUCAGAGCAAAGGAUUCUAGGAAAAUGUGAGGAACAACAUGGUCCUCCAUCAUGAUACAAGGAAGGAGCUUUGGUGUUGCCUGAAGGUUGAAGUGUGUAAUGUCUGACGUGUUCUGGUCCAAACAGCAGGUCUAGAACAACAGAACAAUCUGCUGGAGCAUUGUUAGCUCAUCGCUGUCUGAUGUUCAGAAAACUGCCAGUCUUCUUUCCGGGAUGUUGGAAAGAAGACUCCGGUUGAUUGUAGAAGCUCAGAUUUGGUGGAUGGAUGGAUGGAU